rnacentral:lncRNA from 1 species
UUGGAGUAGUAAAGCCGACUAUAAUCCUUGACGAUAUCUGUUAUCCACAGGCUACCUCGGGCCUGAAAUGGUUGAAAAUGAAGGUGGUGAGAUUAUAAAAUCCCAGUGAGUAAACAGAUACCAUCUAAACCAUCUAAAGUUGAGUAAAUGGAGACAGAUAAAACAGUUUAACAUACUGAAAUUCAUCACCUUUCAACUUGUUUCAAUGAAAUAAAAUCAAUUCAUAUAAAUCGAGUAAUUAACAUGGCUUAUGAAUUUCUUAAAACUUUUGCUCGUGCCAAAAUCAUUAUCAUACUCAGUCAUCAGGGAUACCUUGGCCGAGGGCUAUCCCAAACCGAGUCCGCCAAGGCUGUUAAAAAGUUAUGUAUGCAAAAAUCAUGUUUUUAUUUUGAAAACAUAGUCGUUCCUUAGCGUUGGCUGAGUUCACCCUCACAUGAUGGUUUGGCGUGAAGUGAACUCUAAAGUGUUAACUUUAGGAGUUAUCCAACCACGCCUCUCAUACUGAGGUAAGAUAUAACGAGGUUUACCGUGCCCCUCUAAUAGGCUGGUCCACGGAAACCCGCCCACUACAGUAAGCUAAUCAAUAUCCCACCAAUUCAAUAAAAAUUCAACAGCAUGACAUGGCAAUUUAUCAUUAUCCAGCCUAUCAAGGCAAACAACAGUUUAUACAUUUCAACACAAAUACCAAUUUAGCCAUUCAUGCCAAUAUUGUCAUCAGCCAAUCAAUUAGAACCAUAAAUUACAAUACAUCAAAUGCUCUCCAAUUACUCUAUUUUUAAAGCCAUUAUUCAAUUUUAAAAUAAUUUUAUGAAAUCAUUUCAUUAAAUCACAUUUGGUUUAUAAAAUCGAAAAAUUAAUCAUUUAAUUCAGUUUCCAUAAAAUUCACAAAAUCGGAUAAAAACCACUUUAGAUAAUUAAGACGACAGUAAGGUUACUCACAGUACUAGGAGUUCGAUAUACUCAUAUUCUUGAUCUUCGGGCACAAUCUCUUUACCCUUGUUAGAGGGCUCAUCGCCUAUACAUCAUACGUGACACGAAUUUCAAUAAAUUGUGUCAAUUUAUCAUAAACUAUUUCAGGUUCUAUAGAUCUAUAUGAAUGCACAAAAUGUGAUGCAAAAUGUCUGAAUAGCCUUUUAAAUACGGUAUUCAACCUAAUUCGCACUAUUCUCGAUGUACUUGGCUAAAACCUCCAAUUUAACUCCAAAUCAAUUUCUUUCACUUUCUACACUCCAAUUAUACUUAAAAUACCUCAAUGACUAUGAAUAUGAUUCAGUUUAUCAGUCCAAACCAUAAAUCGCACAUGUCUAUACAUUAGGUAAAAAUUCAGAAUUUCAUGCCAAAUUUCCCAUUAAAUUUCUUGCCUCACCAAUCAUUAACUACCAUCAAAAUAUCAUAAAAUAUCAUCAAUUUCAACCUCAAUAUCCUCCCUAGAAAAUUCGACCUCUAGUGGGUUUGUGAAGAACAAAGUGAUUCCUUGCUAGAUUUUCAUACUUUCCAUUACCAAACAACCAAAAACACUUAAUUAGCUUGAAAUCUAGCAAAAUCAAUGCUCAAAACCUCUCCUCUCAAAUUCGGCCAACAUGGGUUCAUCAUGCAAACUUGAGUUCUAAGCAUGGAAAAUGAAAAAGAAAGCAUGGGUAGUGUAAAUCACAAGAUAAAAUCACAAAAUUUUACCUUUAUUAGCUUAAUCCCUUGAAAUCCCACACUUUUUCUUCAAUUUUCCCACCUAGGGUUUGUGUUCUUUCCUUUCCUCUUC